rnacentral:lncRNA from 1 species
GAGGCAAUAUUGUUACAUAACAGAUAAUUGUAUAUACCAUUCAUAUGAUGCAUUCCUCUUUAUAUGGUUCCUUAUUCAUACUCCUAGUUUGGUAUUCAUUUACCGUAUAACAAAUUGCCAUGCGAAAAGAAAAUGAAGUGCAUUUCUUGCUGGUAUCGGCUAAGCUCAUAGUUUUUGAUUACCAUGUUUUUAAUGGCCA